rnacentral:rRNA from 1 species
UGCCAGCCGCCGCGGUAAGACGGAGGGUGCAAGCGUUAAUCGGAAUUACUGGGCGUAAAGCGAGUGUAGGCGGUUACAUAAGUCGGAUGUGAAAGCCCCGGGCUCAACCUGGGAAUUGCAUUCGAUACUGUGUGACUAGAGUUUGGUAGAGGUAAGUGGAAUUCCGGGUGUAGCGGUGAAAUGCGUAGAUAUCCGGAGGAACAUCAGUGGCGAAGGCGGCUUACUGGACCGAUACUGACGCUGAGACGCGAAAGCGUGGGGAGCAAACCGGAUUAGAUA